GAGAAGACCGUUGGCAGCAGCCGAGGAGGAGCGCAAUAAGAGAGACCGGUUCUCACGGAAGAGUUUGUUGCUCGUGGAGAGCGCAUACGUGCGCGUGAAGUUCGACCAGUGCCUACGUGCGCACGGGUGAUCGCAGGAGUUCGUUGCCAGGAGCUGCGGCUAUAAAACCACCAUGUAUUCAGUUUGUUCGGUUUGAGCCGAGCUGAGUGGAAUACAAGAGAAACACCGGCAUUCAACGCCGGCCGCGCGUUUGGCGCCCCGUGGCGAGCGUAGGUCUCCCACCAAAUCGUGUGUCUCGUGUUCUUGUGAUUGUCCGGCAAUCCUCGGUUCCAACAGAAAUUGCUAUGCACC
rnacentral:lncRNA from 1 species